rnacentral:lncRNA from 1 species
GCAAAGAAAACUGAUCUAACAAAAUAUUUCUAUUCCCAGAACAAUAUACAGGAAACUAGAGAGUAAUCUCUCAGCAAAAAUCCAUCUGGCUUUGGCAGGUUAGGGGACCGGUACAGUAAUACUCAAAAUCCCCAAGAGAAACGCAUUGUUCCCUCACAUUUGAAGUAGCUGCCAAGCAACCCACGAAGGGCACUAGCCAAAGAGAGACUAGAUAAGGCUUGUCUGGAAAGAAUGCUUGGGUGCAAAGACCAGCAGGAGUGGGAAAUGGAGUGGAAGAAAAUAAUACAGUAAUCAAGCCUUGAAUCUAAACCCAGAAAAGCUGAAAGGUGGAUCCCCUUUCCCCCACCCACUUCCUCCUAAUGGAUUUCCUUUUCUUCCUCUCUCAGUUAUUUUAUAGAAAUCCCUUUUGGAGAAACAUCCUAAGCCAUUUGUGGAAAAAAUACUCAAAUUGUAUUUAAGGAAAUUCCGAGUUCAGAUCAAUCUUAUGUCUCAGAGGAAAUUCCGGGAACUAAAAGAAGAAUAGAUAUGCAACCACUUGAUCCAGCUACCUGGAGCUCCCUGGAUACUGACAAAGAGAACAGCAUUUGUUUACAUUGGAUUCCAACAAUGGCACAUGAAGGACAAAUGGCAAAGAGCCUAGUCCUGCAUAUUAUGACUCAAAACAUCCUCUACCUGUACUCAAAAGAGUGCCAAGAAAGCAGAUUUUUAGUUUUGUUUUGACUGGAGGUGGUGCCUGACUGAUCUUUAGUUUAUAAUCAAGUCUCAGAGGAACAGGGGCAUGAAAUACCUCAAAGAGCAUAGAAUCAUAGAUUUAGAGUUGGAGGGGACCUUAGAAGUCAUCAAGUCUAAACAUCUCAUUUUACAAACAAGGAAACUGAGAUUCAGCGAUAAAAGAACUUAGCCAAGUUCACACAGGAAAGCAGAGACAGAAUUUGAACCCAUGACUCACGAUUCUCAAUUCAUCAGACUUUCUGCUAUAUCUUACUAAACAGAAGAUGGGGAGGGGCAGCAGGAAUAGUUCGCUCUGUCACUCUCUCCUCUGAGACUAGAUUUUUCCUUUUCAAGAUUGAAAUAUGAUAGAUGAUUGAAAACUGCCCUCCAUUCAACAUUUAACACGGUGCCAGUUAGGUAAAUGACUAAUGAACAGACAGAAAGGCUACAUAUAAAAUAAUUCAACCUGGGCUCUUCUAAGGUCUCACAAUCUUAGCACAUAAAAGGUGUUUAAUAAAUACUUGGGGAUUGGAGUCUGUGAUCUGUGA